CUACCAAAAAGUUUGUUUCUAUCUUUUCUGCUAUUUUUAUUAGUGCACCUCUAUCAUUGAGAUUUAUCUACCAAAAAGUUUGUUCCUACCUUUCUCGUCUCUUGGUAUAUCAAUAAGAUGAGAACUCUUCUGCUAAUCUGAGUCAUUGAUGGGUUCAGAUUUCAUAGAAGAAAGCUUGUUCUAUACUACUAGAAGAAGAAGAUCUGUCGGCGCGUGAUUUAUCUUGAUGCUAUCGCUGAGACUGACGUAUACAAGUGUGAGCUAGAGGAUUUGCCUGGCGAGGAAUGUUUCCAUGGAACAAAUGAUGGCAUUGAGGAGUGCUCUUCGUGAUGAAUUUCAAGCAAAUACAAGACCGUUUCAGGGCUUACGUAGAAUACCAGUGUAUGUAGUAGCUAUGUAAGAAAGACCAAAAAUUAAUGAAUUAUUAAUCUUCAAAUUAAAUAAUGGCUUGUAAAUUUACCAUGAGAAUCACUGUGAUGCUGUACUGUGAUGCCACAACUUAUUUUGAGGGCUUUUUUGUUCUUGAGUUGCAGCAUCUCAUGGUUCAAUUUCUGUAUGUAUGCUGAGAAGAACAUGAGAGAGUUAAGAGGGUAUUUACACCAUUAGUGUUGGCA